GAGUUUGAUUCUGGCUCAGGACGAACGCUGGCGGCGUGCUUAACACAUGCAAGUCGAACGAAAUUAAAAAAUUAUCAUUGAGCUCUCCGAUGAGAUGGGAGCCAAGCGUCGUGACCGCGGAGCGGGCACCACGCGUUCAACAAGUGCAACACCAAGUCGAAGGGUUGAAUGGUAAUUUUUUAAUUUAGUGGCAAACGGGUGAGUAACACGUAGACAACCUGCCGACAGGAUGGGGACAACAUUCCGAAAGGAAUGCUAAUACCGAAUGAAGUCAGAGGAGGGCAUCCUCUUCUGAUGAAAGAUGGCCUCUUUUUAUGCUAUCACCUGUUGAUGGGUCUGCGUCUGAUUAGCUAGUUGGUGAGGUAACGGCUCACCAAGGCGACGAUCAGUAGCCGGUCUGAGAGGAUGAACGGCCACAUUGGGACUGAGACACGGCCCAGACUCCUACGGGAGGCAGCAGUGGGGAAUCUUCCGCAAUGGGCGCAAGCCUGACGGAGCAACGCCGCGUGAGUGAAGAAGGUCUUCGGAUCGUAAAGCUCUGUUGACGGGGACGAACGUGCGGAGUGCGAAUAGCGCUUGCA
rnacentral:rRNA from 1 species